GAGAAAAGGGUCUUCCUAUAAAAUUAGGAAGAACGACUUUUUAAUGCUCAAUUCUCAAGGGAAAUAUCGCGCUCAGAACUCCCGGUUCCGACUUUUGUUUACAACAAAGGCAAUAUCUCGUGAGAAUAUCCCGAAAUAUAUAUAAUGAAAGACGUGCCUUUCAUCAAACACGAAACGAAUUUGGAUAGAUUUUGUUGCCCUAAAGUUAAAUAGGGAUUAUG